UUUCCGUAGGUGAACCUGCGGAAGGAUCAUUAUUGUAUAACCGAGGUGCGAGGGCUGUCGCUGACCCGAAAGGUCGUGCACGCCCGAGUGCCCUCACACACAUCCAUCUCACCCCUAUGUGCACCACCGCGUGGGUCCCCCUUUGGCUUGUUCGGAGGGGGGCUUACGUUUUCACACAAACUUUGUAUGCAGUGUAGAAUGUAUUUUUUGUUUUUGCGAUCACGCAAUCAAUACAACUUUCAACAACGGAUCUCUUGGCUCUCCCAUCGAUGAAGAACGCAGC
rnacentral:misc_RNA from 1 species